rnacentral:rRNA from 1 species
CGGCGGACGGGUGAGUAACACGUGGGUAACCUACCUAUAAGACUGGGACAACUUCGGGAAACCGGAGCUAAUACCGGAUAAGAUAUCGAACCGCAUGGUUCGAUAGUGAAAGANGGUUUUGCUAUCACUUAUAGAUGGACCCGCGCCGUAUUAGCUAGUUGGUGAGGUAACGGCUCACCAAGGCAACGAUACGUAGCCGACCCUGAGAGGGUGAUUCGGCCACACUGGAACUGAGACACGGUCCAGACUCCUACGGGAGGCAGCAGUC